GGAAUAUUGGUCAAUGGUCGGAAGACUGAACCAGCCAAGUAGCGUGCAGGAUGACGGCCCUAUGGGUUGUAAACUGCUUUUGUGCGGGAAUAACGGUAGCCACGUGUGGUUGCGUGCAUGUACCGUACGAAUAAGGAUCGGCUAACUCCGUGCCAGCAGCCGCGGUAAUACGGAGGAUCCGAGCGUUAUCCGGAUUUAUUGGGUUUAAAGGGAGCGUAGGCGGAGGAUCAAGUCAGUUGUGAAAUGUAGACGCUCAACGUCUGCACUGCAGUUGAAACUGGUUCCCUUGAGUGCGUAAGAGGAAGGCGGAAUUCGUCGUGUAGCGGUGAAAUGCUUAGAUAUGACGAAGAACUCCGAUCGCGAAGGCAGCUUGCCGGGCCGCAACUGACGCUGAAGCUCGAAGGUGCGGGUAUCGAACA
rnacentral:rRNA from 1 species